rnacentral:misc_RNA from 1 species
GAAAUGCGAUACGUAAUGCGAAUUGCAGAAUUCAGUGAAUCAUCAAAUCUUUGAACGCAAAUUGCGCUCUUGGGUAGCCCUAGGAGCACGCCUCUCUCAGUAUCGGUUCAAAAACAACUCAGCAGCGUAUUGUCAUGAUACGUGUUGGCUGGAUAAUGAGAGUCUGUAUGUUCAGUACAGUCUCUUGAAAUAUAUUGAGUGAAGUCUAUCACAGUUCACACUAUCGACCUCGAGUCGAAAGCCGGUCUCUGACUGGUUGUGUUGAGAAGUGACGUGAAUAAUCGGAGAGAUUUAUCUCUUCAUAACAUUUACGUGUAACGUUAUCAACACAACUAUACCAAAGGUCUAGGAUGGCUGUAUGA